UCGAAUCCCAGACGACGCAGCUGUAAUAUCGUCUAUGUAAUAUUUCUAGUUGUUUCUAAUAGCAUAAUAAACCCGACAAAAAAAAAAAUCUUCAAGAAGAAGGCAAAAUAAAAUAAAAAAAUCGCUAGGAAAAUUUCAGAUUUUUUUCCCAAUAAAGUAAAGGGAGCACUAAAGUAAACGUGAUUAGGUAAGACAAUGAAAUCCAACAACACAUAUUAGCUGGCCAUUUUCCUUUAAUUAAUUUAAUCGUUAUCUAUUUUAUGUGUAAAACAACCGCCUCUCAUUAAAAACGCCCCUAAACACGUAACCCACAUAGACCGUUGAUCUUAUAUCUAUUAAUGUGAUCUAGUCCGUCCAAUAGUCCUAACACUGUAUAAAAGUAGCGAAUUGAUCUCUGUAGGUUUUCAUAUACCCGCGUUUGUUAUGAUUCGUUCAACUUUUUCGCUACAUCUCUCGUGUUCGUCGAUGUAUCGAAGUCUCUCCGAUGAAGUUCGUCGCAAAUUCGGCUCUCAGAUCGGCGUCGUAUCCGUAUGUAUCCAGUGGAUCCGGUUUAAAUCACGGCGAGAAGACUGAUCCCAGCGGCUGAUUAAUAUCUCCGACGAUUGGUUGAAGAGCUGAUCUGAUCUCGCAUCAUGACCUCGGCCGCUAACCUCGCCGGAUCUGAGAAUUUCGUUGCGUUUUGAUGAAGGAUUAGAGAAGAGCGAAGAGGAAGAGGAUGGCAGAUAUGUGAAAUUGAAAUUGAGUGAUAGGAUGUAUGAGAUGUUUGUUUAGGGACGAUACAGCCUUUCUGAUGAGAGAGGGCUUGAGUUCUGAAUUAGCAUCUUUGUCAUCCGACCUUUGCCAUGACAGGUGCGCUUGCAUGGCAGGUCACACAAAAUAUCCCUAAUAAAAAAAUAACUGUUUCGUGUUGUUGUGAGGGGAGUUCGCACGGGGAACAUAUUUUUAUAGCCCGGGUUCUCCCCUCACCUCCUUUGUGUCUUUUGCACUCUGCUCUCACUAUCACACUCACACACUCAUAUCUCAAAUCACCAAAAUAUCUCGAUUCACAGACAUAUUUUGAAUUGAUUCGAAUCACUACUAUUGGAUCUGGAGUCGAGUACCUGCAUAACCAAGUUCAACAUACUCCAUGGAGACCAAAAGGUACUUUCAAUUAUUUAUUCGCAUUACUAAUACAUCCAUUGACAUCUAAUCGGCUUUUAUUUGGCUCAUUAUUAAAUCAUCGGUACUACUCAAUCAUUCUCCAAAAAUAUUAUAUCGGCCAAGUAUUCGUAUUAAUUUAUAUCUCCAGACUUAGCAUUGAUCUGAGAAUUUGAAUUAACUUGAGGAAUAGUAGAUAGUUAUUACAUUGUACCAUAUUGUAAGCAUAUCGUACUCUAGGAUUCCUAGAGUUGCAAAUGGCUUUGAAGAGUUCUGAAUGAGAAGUUUGUUUUCGAACCAAGUGUCUGAUGUUUUACUUAUGUUACCCCACGGCUCUUGUAUGUUAUUAACUAAUGUUGUAAACCUUGAAUAGUAUACUACAGUUAUAUUGUUGCACUAAGAUUUUGAAUGUUAACAUCGGAUGUUGUUCUAUAGUAAUUGAUUAUAUACUUUCUAUCUAUAUAUCGUUUUUUCUUAAA